GUGUGUGUGUGUGUGUGUGUGUGUGUGUAUGUAUAUGUGUGUAUAUGUGUGUGUGUGUGUAUACACACACACACACACACACACACAC
rnacentral:miRNA from 1 species